UAUACAGAUAAAAGUUAAGUGAGUAGCUUUCAGUGUAUAAGAGACUGCUCGACACUCGGAACAUGGACAUUGAAGCUACUGCUGUUUAGUGUACAGCUCGAGAAGUUUCAGCUCGAACUUCUGUCGAAGCUGCACUGUUUUUAGCUUAGCCCAGCUACUAAGCUAACUCGUAGUGUGUUGUUAGCAUUCGCUAUCAAAGCGAACGGACUUACCCGCGAGGAGCUAAACCAGCUUCUUGUAUCGGCUUGUGCCUUGUGGUCUCAGCGCGCGAGCAUGAGGAUUCGGAUCGGCCGCUGCCAGUGUGUGUGACUCGUCAUCGGUGGUGAUCGUCCCGGGCUGCCAGGCCGGCUCCAUCGCCUGCUCACUGGCCUGUCUUCAUUCCACCUGUAGUGUCGCCUUCCGGACUCGGACCGGAUCGGCCGUUCUUUGGAUCGGAGUGGCCAAAUGACGAUCAGAUGCUGAAGAGCUCAGCUGGACACAGAAUUGAAUUCUCCCAUACCUACAACAACUUGAGCAUGCAUGUUUAAACGGGCAGUCUAUUGUGUGGGCAGCUGAUUAAAGAACAGUUUUAAAAGAAAAGAGGACAUCUAUUUCUCAGGGGUCUUAAGUGCCAGACAGGCAGCAUGGCUCAAGGCUGUGUCUGGGCGAUGGACAGCCGUUGGACAGACUGCCCGGGGGAGACGCAGGCCAAACAUCUCCUAAACUGAAUGCUGUCAGCAUUGCAACACAGGCAGCUGGAGAAACAGUGAAAUAAAAUACCUUUCUACUGACCAUCAUUCAGUUUCAAGGUGGCUCUCUAGCCAUGGAAACCCUAACUGGCUCCUUCACCCUGCACCCCGAAUGCUGAGCUCUCACCGAGGAAGUUCAUGUAUAGGAGACAGUAAGUUGACACUGUUGCUACAUUUGGAUCAGGGUAUAUACAGUAUACCUAACAGUCUGGUGUGUUCAGUACCUGAGCAGGGUGAUCUGAGCCCCGUGGAGCCUCGUUAAUCCUAUAUCACUUCAUAAAAAGAGAUUUACGGCUGAAUGAGCAGCUGUACAAUCUUAUCACUUAACUGUGUUUCCAGUUGUGUCUUGACAUCUCCAGUGUCAUUAUUUUACAGCUUUCUGAUGCUAGCUGCACAAAAUUUAACCAGUGGGUCAAGGCUCUGACAAUAAUGUGUUCUUUUGGAUCCAACUCCAUGGCCAAAUGCACCACAGGGGAUCAACCAAUCAUUGACUUGUGGAGGUGAGAAAUCAAAACAAACACGUUGUCCUCAGAAUCAGCAGCUGUCGCUACUUUAUUUCUACAGACAGGACAGGCAUCUGAAAUAUAAGCAUCAUUCAUAACACGCUGAAUAAAACACCUUAAAGUAAAUGGUUAUCACCCACCUAAAGGUUUAAAUAUUCUUGAUCAUAUGUUGAGUUAUACAUUUGUUUUGUUUGUGUGUUACAAUGAUUGCCAAACUAACUCCUUCACAACCAGCUACAAGAAGCUUGUAGGUUUUCUCUUUGGUUGCUUAUGUUUUCUGAAAUCUCACUUUGUUUUCUCUUUUCCUGUUGUCUCCUGAGGUGAGGAUAGGUGAGAAUUAACUCAAAAUGAAAUUGACAAAAUAAUAAAAUCAUGAAAAAGAAUUUAACAUAACAUGAUUGGAGUUUGAAUAAUGUUUUACAUUAUUCCACAAUUAUUCUAUUGAUUCAUUUAUAUUGCUCUACUCAAUCAUAAAUGUUUAUUUCACAGUGGCUUCUUAUGCGUUCCACAGCAUACUGUUACCUCAGCAUACACUGUAAUAAAUUAUUCUGUAGUCAUUUCAUUUUACUUAAUAUAUUUGAUAAAAUGUAUUAAAUAUAAAUGCGUCCUUGAUUUUGAGGCAGUUUAAGUAACUUUAAUAUAAAAAUGUUUGAGAUUGAAUCUACUUAUUUUGAUCACAUUAAAUAUAAUCUUUAUGUGUAUGUAAUUCUAAAUCAAGAGAAUUUUGAAUGAAUCCAACACAAUAGAAUUAGUCUGUUUUUAAUUGACAGGCACUUCCUGUUAAGUUAUUAACUCAACUUGUAAUGUAGUUAGAUUUAAUUAAUAAAAUUGCAUGCAAUCUGUUGACCAAAUUUUAUUGAGGAGCUAUUGUUUAUCUUUUUUUUUUACAGUGUAGGGCACAUUACAUUACAUUACAUUACAUGUCAUUUAGCUGACGCUUUUGUCCAAAGCGAUUUACAAUAAGUAAUGCUAUGUCACACCACAAAUAAUCCUGUAUCAUCGCCUGCAUACGCUUUCUGUUGAUGUGAAUAACAUAGAAACCUAGCUGAUAUAUUGCAUUUGCAUAAACACAGGAGUUCCUGACUUCCUCAGCUCCUUACGUUUCACUAGGAGUUUGUUUUCAGACGUCUGGACUACGGGCAAAACUAAAGGGAAGCCAUUUGAAUCACUCUUAAAGGAACAACCCCGUGUUGGUGGACGAGCCAGUCGAGUCGCCACACGUGAAACCGACCAUGUUUCCCUUAAGUGUAGAUGCCUGGCUAUCUUCAUCUGUCAACAAUGAUGUCAAACAUCAUACCAUCGUACUGACAGGAGCAGCGACAGGAAUGAAUGAAGAGCCGUGAUCUGGGAACCAUGUGAAAUCAGACUAUAAAAGCAGUAUCUUAUGUGUGGAGUCAAAUUAAUUAGCAUUUAAGCUUUUAUUUGUAUGGAAUAUCAAAGCUAGAAUUAAAGGAUUGUCUUAACAUGGUUGUCUAAUAAUGUUGAAUCAUUUGAAGCUCCAUUAGUUCUGUUUGUUUCUCAUUUUUCAUUCUGGCUGCAGUUCUUCUGCUAAUUACAACAAAAAUAUAUAUUUUAUUUUGGUGCUGUGGCAAAAAUUAGUUUUAGUAUAUUGUUCAGUCUGAAGUUGCAGUAUCACACUUUAACUAAGAUGCAACACACCAAACUUGUGCUAUACCUAUAACUAAAAACUAGAGCAACAUUCCAGACAGAAAUGUGCUUAAUGAAUACAACUGCAUACUUCUCUCUUUGAAUCUCCUAAUUAGAUCACAAAGAAAUGUGGUUUUCUGAUGUACUUCCUUGUCUACUGAUGAACCAAUUUUCAU